AACCUCCGCAAUGUGAGAAAUCGCGACGGGGGGAUCCCAAGUGCCAUUCUUAACGGGAUGGCUUUUCAUUAGUGUAAAGAGCUUUUGGAAUAAGGGCUGGGCAAGACCGGUGCCAGCCGCCGCGGUAACACCGGCAGCUCUAGUGGUAGCAGUUUUUAUUGGGCCUAAAGCGUCCGUAGCCGGUUUAAUAAGUCUCUGGUGAAAUCCUGUAGCUUAAUUGUGGGAAUUACUGGAGAUACUAUUAGACUUGAGACCGGGAGAGGUUAGAGGUACUCCCAGGGUAGAGGUGAAAUUCUGUAAUCCUGGGAGGACCGCCUGUUGCGAAGGCGUCUAACUGGAACGGUUCUGACGGUGAGGGACGAAAGUUAGGGGCGCGAACCGGAUUAGAUACCCGGGUAGUCCUAACUGUAAACGAUGCGGACUUGGUGUUGGGGUGGCUUUGAGCUGCUCCAGUGCCGAAGGGAAGCUGUUAAGUCCGCCGCCUGGGAAGUACGGUCGCAAGACUGAAACUUAAAGGAAUU
rnacentral:rRNA from 1 species